rnacentral:tRNA from 1 species
AUGCUGAUAGUAUAACUACUGUACAACUGCCUUCCAAGCAUAAAGACCAAAACCGAGGUCAGCAUA